rnacentral:lncRNA from 1 species
AUUCUCGGCUCCGUAGGAAGGCGUUGGUGAACUUCGUGCAUCCAGGGAGGCUCUGCUGGCCGAGCUGAAGCUACUGGAGCUCAAAUCUUCGUAACUCGCUACAGAUUGGCUACCUCCUGCAACACAGAAGACCUUUAUUUGUCCUUGGGUGACAGGGAACCUCAACCCGUUCGCUUCUAGCUGCAGUAAGUGAUUGCAGCCUCAACUAGCAAAGCAGCAAACCGUCAGAGAAAGGGUACUGGGAUAGGAAAUGUAUAUUGACCAUAUUGCAAUUGACACUAGCGGAGUUCUAACUCUAUAUUGAAAUACAUCAUUUAUUAUUCACAGUGAAGAAAUAAUUUUGAAACUUUAUUGCUUUACUGAAACUGUAUCUUGCGUUUGUUAGUUCCUUGCUAACUUGUAGAUCGAAUAAGGUUUUAUAGUUAUACAUCCAAACAAUUACAUAGUACAGAUCCGCAUGGGUAGUUACUAUCAAAUGUAUUCGCGGGCUUGGUAUGGGAUCUUCGUAA